rnacentral:rRNA from 1 species
GACGAACGCUGGCGGCGUGCCUAAUACAUGCAAAUCGAGCGAAGUGUUUCUGGUGCUUGCACUAGAAAAACUUAGCGGCGAGCGGGUGAGUAACACGUAAAGAACCUGCCUCAUAGACUGGGACAACUAUUGGAAACGAUAGCUAAUACCGGAUAACAGUAUUUCUCGCAUGAGAGAUAUUUAAUAGUUGGUUAUGCUAACACUAUGAGAUGGCUUUGCGGUGCAUUAGCUAGUUGGCGGGGUAAAGUCCCACCAAGGCGACGAUGCAUAGACGACCUGAGAGGGUGGUCGGCCACACGGGGAGUGAGACACGGCCCAGACUCCUGCGGGAGGCAGCAGUAGGGAAUCUUCCGCAAUGGGCGAGAGUCUGACGGAGCAACGCCGCGUGAGUGAAGAAGGAGCUCGGUUCGUAAAGCUCUGUUGUUAGGGAAGAAUGGAUGUGUAGUAACUAGACAUGUAAGUGACGGUACCUGGACAGAAAGCCACGGCUAACUACGUG